GUGAAAAAUGCUGUAUUUAAUUCGUGCCGUAUCUUUGGAUGUGCGAUCUUUGUACAUCUUUCGCUUUAAAGUCUAAAAUCAAUAUUGUUUUCCAGCGUCUAGCUAGAGGCUACCGCGCUAUCAGUUGUCAAAAUAAUGGCGGACUGUGGUGCGGGAGUGGUUACGUCGGGUCGUUGAGAGGAGUUGAAUUGUCAGGUGACCCAUGUCAUGAUACCUGGCUCACUCUCCGUGCCAAGACAAUCUCCCAGCUUCCAAAGGGAGAUCACCUGCUUCAUCGCCGAUUGUCACCAAAGACCGACAUAAUAUCUCAAUGUUCCAUUGCAAUAAUUCAGGGCAGUUAGUCAGUAUCGUCGAGUGUCGGCCGAGUUUGAUCCAUUCCAGGGCUAUGGACGGUCCGUCGAGGACCGUCGACAAACAAGUGCCUGAUAUUAGGGUGAGUGUGGCGCCGCCGAU